UACCAGCACCCCGAGUGGUCGGGACGUUUAUUGGGCCUAAAGCAUCCGUAGCCGGUUCUACAAGUCUUCCGUUAAAUCCAGCUGCUUAACAGAUGGGCUGCGGAAGAUACUAUGGAGCUAGGAGGCGGGAGGAGGCAAGCGGUACUCGAUGGGUAGGGGUAAAAUCCGUUGAUCCAUUGAAGACCACCAGUGGCGAAGGCGGCUUGCCAGAACGCGCUCGACGGUGAGGAUGAAAGCUGGGGGAGCAAAGCCGG
rnacentral:rRNA from 1 species